AUUGAACGCUGGCGGCAUGCCUUACACAUGCAAGUCGAACGGCAGCACGGACUUCGGUCUGGUGGCGAGUGGCGAACGGGUGAGUAAUGUGUCGGAACGUACCAUUGAGUGGGGGAUAACGUAGCGAAAGUUACGCUAAUACCGCAUAUUCUCUCCGGAGGAAAGCAGGGGACCGCAAGGCCUUGCGCUCUUUGAGCGGCCGAUAUCAGAUUAGCUAGUUGGUGGGGUAAAAGCUCACCAAGGAGACGAUCUGUAGCGGGUCUGAGAGGAUGGUCCGCCACACUGGAAGUGAGACACGGUCCAGACUCCUACGGGAGGCAGCAGUGGGGAAUUUUGGACAAUGGGGGCAACCCUGAUCCAGCCAUGCCGCGUGAGUGAAGAAGGCCUUCGGGUUGUAAAGCUCUUUCGGCCGGGAAAAAAUCGCAUGGGUUAAUACCCUGUGUGGAUGAUGGUACCGGAAUAAGAAGCACCGGCUAACUACGUGCCAGCAGCCGCCGUAACAC
rnacentral:rRNA from 1 species